UUAGAUUUAGAAUUGUAUUGUGCCAAACACCACCUGGUCGCAAUUACCUACAAUUAGCCUCACUGACUAGUACUGGGUUGGACUUUUCCUUCAUAACUGCCUUAAAUGUUUGUGGCAUGGAUUGAAGAAGGAACUGGAAAAUGUUUUAAGGCAGACUGACAUGAGAGGAUCGCACAGAUGCUGCAGAUUUGUCAGCUGCAAAACCAUGAUGUGACUCAUCCAUUCCAGCAUCCCAGUCCCAAAAGUGCUUUUAUUGGAAUGAUCUGUGGUGAUUCUGGAAGCCAUCUGAGCUCACUGUCAUGUUCAAGAAACCAGUUUGAGAUUAUAUGAGCUGCUGGAAGCAGCCAUUAGAAGAUGGGUACACUGGUUACUAGUAAUUGAUAUGAUCAACAUCAAUAUUCAGAUCGUUCUCUAUAAACCGCAGAGACGGCUGCCAUAGGCCAUCGACUGUAUCGGCGCCUUGUCGUAGUUGUGUUUACCUACUGAAAAUGUAAAGACACGCACCUACGAGGGAAAGAGGAUGCAAUCAAAUCAAAUAUGCUAAAAGGCUCAUUCUGGUAUUUCAC